CUGAAAUCAGGCGGGACUACCCGCUGAACU
rnacentral:rRNA from 1 species